rnacentral:tRNA from 1 species
ACGGUGGUGGCAGACAAGCAAUGCACGGGCCUCCAAAACCCGAAGAUGUGGGCGCGAUACCCACCCGCCGUGCCA